CUUAUACUCCCUCCGUCCGGAAUUACUCGUCUAAAAAAUGAAUGUAUCUAGAUGUAUUUUAGUUGUAGAUACAUCCAUUUUUGUGACAAGUAAUUCCGAACAGAGGGAGUACAUG
rfam:Triticum aestivum genome assembly, contig: Triticum_aestivum_CS42_TGACv1_scaffold_405422_5BL